UACGUAGGUGGCGAGCGUUGUCCGGAAUUACUGGGUGUAAAGGGAGCGUAGGCGGGACUGCAAGUUGGGUGUCAAAUCUACCGGCUCAACCGGUAGCCGCACUCAAAACUGCAGUUCUUGAGUGAAGUAGAGGCAGGCGGAAUUCCUAGUGUAGCGGUGAAAUGCGUAGAUAUAUGGAAGAACACCAGUGGCGAAAGCGGCUCUCUGGUCUGUAACUGACGCUGAGGUUCGAAAGCGUGGGUAGCAAACAGG
rnacentral:rRNA from 1 species